rnacentral:rRNA from 1 species
CCUACGGGAGGCAGCAGUGAGGAAUAUUUGUCAAUGGACGAGAGUCUGAACCUGCCAAGUAGCGUGAAGGAUGACUGCCCUAUGGGUUGUAAACUUCUUUUAUAUGGGAAUAAAACGUUCCACGUGUGGGAUUUUGUAUGUACCAUAUGAAUAAGGAUCGGCUAACUCCGUGCCAGCAGCCGCGGUAAUACGGAGGAUCCGAGCGUUAUCCGGAUUUAUUGGGUUUAAAGGGAGCGUAGGUGGAUUGUUAAGUCAGUUGUGAAAGUUUGCGGCUCAACCGUAAAAUUGCAGUUGAAACUGGCAGUCUUGAGUACAGUAGAGGUGGGCGGAAUUCGUGGUGUAGCGGUGAAAUGCUUAGAUAUCACGAAGAACUCCGAUUGCGAAGGCAGUUCACUGGACUGCAACUGACACUGAGGCUCGAAAGUGUGGGUAUCAAACAGGAUUAGAUACCCGGGUAGUC